rnacentral:rRNA from 1 species
CAGCAGUAGGGAAUCUUCCGCAAUGGGCGAAAGCCUGACGGAGCGACGCCGCGUGAGUGAUGAAGGCCUUCGGGUUGUAAAGCUCUGUGGGGAGAGAAGAAUAAGUUCAGGUGAAUAUCCUGAAUGAUGACGGUAUCUCCUUAGCAAGCACCGGCUAACUCUGUGCCAGCAGCCGCGGUAAGACAGAGGGUGCAAACGUUGUUCGGAUUUACUGGGCGUAAAGCGCGUGUAGGCGGCUUGGCAAGUCGGAUGUGAAAGCCCACGGCUCAACCGUGGAAGCGCACCCGAAACGGCCUCGCUCGAGUCUCGGAGAGGAAGGUGGAAUGCUUGGUGUAGAGGUGAAAUUCGUAGAUAUCAAGCAGAACACCUGCGGCGAAGGCGGCCUUCUGGACGAUGACUGACGCUGAGACGCGAAAGCGUGGGGAGCAAACAGGAUUAGAUACCCUG